ACGGGGGGAGCAAGCGUUGUUCGGAUUUACUGGGCGUAAAGCGUGCGCAGGCGGUUUUGUAAGCCAGAUGUGAAAUCCCCGGGCUUAACCUGGGAAUGGCAUUUGGGACUGCAAGGCUGGAGUGCGGCUGAGGAGACUGGAAUUCCUGGUGUAGCAGUGAAAUGCGUAGAUAUCGGGAGGAACAUCCGUGGCGAAGGCGGCUACCUGGACCAGCACUGACACUGAGGCACGAAAGCGUGGGGAGCAAACAGGA
rnacentral:rRNA from 1 species